AGCAGAGGCACUGACCUGAGGGAGCAGAGGCACUGAGGUAGAAGAUGAAUUGUUGCUGAGCUUUCUGACGGCGAGGUGAGGGGAGAAGCAGUGACGGCCGGGAGAAUGACGACGCCGCGGAGAGUGAUGACGCCGCGGAGAGUGACGACGACGUUUGGCGGUGACUGAUGAGGCCGAUUGAUGAAUUUGUUUUUGGUCUCAGACACUCAACUCU